rnacentral:rRNA from 1 species
CGGUCCCUACGGGGGGCAGCAGUGAGGAAUAUUGGUCAAUGGCCGGAAGGCUGAACCAGCCAAGCCGCGUGAAGGACGAAGGUGCCAAGCAUUGUAAACUUCUUUUGUCAAGGGACAAAAUCAGGCUCGAGAGCCUGACCGAGGGUACUUGAAGAAAAAGCAUCGGCUAACUACGUGCCAGCAGCCGCGGUAAUACGUAGGGGGCAAGCGUUAUCCGGAUUUACUGGGUGUAAAGGGAGCGUAGACGGCAGCGCAAGUCUGAAGUGAAAUGCCGGGGCUUAACCCCGGAACUGCUUUGGAAACUG